AAAUUGAAGAGUUUGAUCAUGGCUCAGAUUGAACGCUGGCGGCAGGCCUAACACAUGCAAGUCGAACGGUAACAGGAAGCAGCUUGCUGCUUUGCUGACGAGUGGCGGACGGGUGAGUAAUGUCUGGGAAACUGCCUGAUGGAGGGGGAUAACUACUGGAAACGGUGGCUAAUACCGCAUAACGUCGCAAGACCAAAGAGGGGGACCUUCGGGCCUCUUGCCAUCAGAUGUGCCCAGAUGGGAUUAGCUUGUUGGUGAGGUAACGGCUCACCAAGGCGACGAUCCCUAGCUGGUCUGAGAGGAUGACCAGCCACACUGGAACUGAGACACGGUCCAGACUCCUACGGGAGGCAGCAGUGGGGAAUAUUGCACAAUGGGCGCAAGCCUGAUGCAGCCAUGCCGCGUGUAUGAAGAAGGCCUUCGGGUUGUAAAGUACUUUCAGCGGGGAGGAAGGUGUUGCGGUUAAUAACCGCAGCAAUUGACGUUACCCGCAGAAGAAGCACCGGCUAACUCCGUGCCAGCAGCCGCGGUAAUACGGAGGGUGCAAGCGUUAAUCGGAAUUACUGGGCGUAAAGCGCACGCAGGCGGUCUGUCAAGUCGGAUGUGAAAUCCCCGGGCUCAACCUGGGAACUGCAUUCGAAACUGGCAGGCUUGAGUCUUGUAGAGGGGGGUAGAAUUCCAGGUGUAGCGGUGAAAUGCGUAGAGAUCUGGAGGAAUACCGGUGGCGAAGGCGGCCCCCUGGACAAAGACUGACGCUCAGGUGCGAAAGCGUGGGGAGCAAACAGGAUUAGAUACCCUGGUAGUCCACGCCGUAAACGAUGUCUACUUGGAGGUUGUGCCCUUGAGGCGUGGCUUCCGGAGCUAACGCGUUAAGUAGACCGCCUGGGGAGUACGGCCGCAAGGUUAAAACUCAAAUGAAUUGACGGGGGCCCGCACAAGCGGUGGAGCAUGUGGUUUAAUUCGAUGCAACGCGAAGAACCUUACCUGGUCUUGACAUCCACAGAACUUUCCAGAGAUGGACUGGUGCCUUCGGGAACUGUGAGACAGGUGCUGCAUGGCUGUCGUCAGCUCGUGUUGUGAAAUGUUGGGUUAAGUCCCGCAACGAGCGCAACCCUUAUCCUUUGUUGCCAGCGGUCCGGCCGGGAACUCAAAGGAGACUGCCAGUGAUAAACUGGAGGAAGGUGGGGAUGACGUCAAGUCAUCAUGGCCCUUACGACCAGGGCUACACACGUGCUACAAUGGCGCAUACAAAGAGAAGCGACCUCGCGAGAGCAAGCGGACCUCAUAAAGUGCGUCGUAGUCCGGAUUGGAGUCUGCAACUCGACUCCAUGAAGUCGGAAUCGCUAGUAAUCGUGGAUCAGAAUGCCACGGUGAAUACGUUCCCGGGCCUUGUACACACCGCCCGUCACACCAUGGGAGUGGGUUGCAAAAGAAGUAGGUAGCUUAACCUUCGGGAGGGCGCUUACCACUUUGUGAUUCAUGACUGGGGUGAAGUCGUAACAAGGUAACCGUAGGGGAACCUGCGGUUGGAUCACCUCCUUACCUUAAAGAA
rnacentral:rRNA from 1 species